AAGCCUAUACUUUCAGGGAUCAUUUCUAUAGUACGUGACUAGAGAAGUUUCUCUGAUCGUGAGCACCAGAAGCCACGAGGAGGAGCCAGAGCGUCCUCUCAUGAGCGUGAAGUCGGCUCCAGGUGUCGCUUCUGUGACUGUCUUUGGCCAUUGAUGAUCCUUCUCCCUUUCAUCUGGAAAGGGUAGAGGGAGAAGAUGCAGUCUGAGUGGU